rnacentral:lncRNA from 1 species
GUCACAGAUGUGGAUCAAAGGGCUUCACCUUCUGGCAUAUGUAGUCAAAGCAUGGUUACUGUUUCUCAUCUUCUACAGGUUCACUGUGGUAUUCUGCCACGUAAAGGCUCUUGUCAAUGUUGCUUGGUAUGGGCUUUAUUUCAGUUCCCAACUGCUCCUCAAUACUUUUCAGGUUGAAUCGAUCAUCAUAGGUGAUCAAGUUG